rnacentral:rRNA from 1 species
UUAAGCGACUAAGCGUACACGGUGGAUGCCCUGGCAGUCAGAGGCGAUGAAGGGCGUGCUAAUCUGCGAUAAGCGCCGGUAAGGUGAUAUGAACCGUUAUAACCGGCGAUACCCGAAUGGGGAAACCCAGUGUGAUUCGUCACACUAUCAUUAACUGAAUCCAUAGGUUAAUGAGGCGAACCGGGGGAACUGAAACAUCUAAGUACCCCGAGGAAAAGAAAUCAACCGAGAUUCCCCCAGUAGCGGCGAGCGAACGGGGAGGAGCCCAGAGCCUGAAUCAGCAUGUGUGUUAGUGGAAGCGUCUGGAAAGGCGCGCGAUACAGGGUGACAGCCCCGUACACAAAAGCGCAUGUGUUGUGAGCUCGAUGAGUAGGGCGGGACACGUGGUAUCCUGUCUGAAUAUGGGGGGACCAUCCUCCAAGGCUAAAUACUCCUGACUGACCGAUAGUGAACCAGUACCGUGAGGGAAAGGCGAAAAGAACCCCGGCGAGGGGAGUGAAAAAGAACCUGAAACCGUGUACGUACAAGCAGUGGGAGCACAGGUUUACCUGUGUGACUGCGUACCUUUUGUAUAAUGGGUCAGCGACUUAUAUUCUGUAGCAAGGUUAACCGUAUAGGGGAGCCGGAGGGAAACCGAGUCUUAAUUGGGCGUUAAGUUGCAGGGUAUAGACCCGAAACCCGGUGAUCUAGCCAUGGGCAGGUUGAAGGUUGGGUAACACUAACUGGAGGACCGAACCGACUAAUGUUGAAAAAUUAGCGGAUGACCUGUGGCUGGGGGUGAAAGGCCAAUCAAACCGGGAGAUAGCUGGUUCUCCCCGAAAGCUAUUUAGGUAGCGCCUCGUGAAUUCAUCUCCGGGGGUAGAGCACUGUUUCGGCUAGGGGGCCAUCCCGGCUUACCAACCCGAUGCAAACUGCGAAUACCGGAGAAUGUUAUCACGGGAGACACACGGCGGGUGCUAACGUCCGUCGUGAAGAGGGAAACAACCCAGACCGCCAGCUAAGGUCCCAAAGUCAUGGUUAAGUGGGAAACGAUGUGGGAAGGCCCAGACAGCCAGGAUGUUGGCUUAGAAGCAGCCAUCAUUUAAAGAAAGCGUAAUAGCUCACUGGUCGAGUCGGCCUGCGCGGAAGAUGUAACGGGGCUAAACCAUGCACCGAAGCUGCGGCAGCGACACUGUGUGUUGUUGGGUAGGGGAGCGUUCUGUAAGCCUGUGAAGGUGUGUCGUGAGGCAUGCUGGAGGUAUCAGAAGUGCGAAUGCUGACAUAAGUAACGAUAAAGCGGGUGAAAAGCCCGCUCGCCGGAAGACCAAGGGUUCCUGUCCAACGUUAAUCGGGGCAGGGUGAGUCGACCCCUAAGGCGAGGCCGAAAGGCGUAGUCGAUGGGAAACGGGUUAAUAUUCCCGUACUUGGUGUUACUGCGAAGGGGGGACGGAGAAGGCUAUGUUGGCCGGGCGACGGUUGUCCCGGUUUAAGCGUGUAGGUGUGUGUUCCAGGUAAAUCCGGUUCACUUUAACACUGAGGCGUGACGACGAGGCACUACGGUGCUGAAGCAACAAAUGCCCUGCUUCCAGGAAAAGCCUCUAAGCAUCAGGUAACAUCAAAUCGUACCCCAAACCGACACAGGUGGUCAGGUAGAGAAUACCAAGGCGCUUGAGAGAACUCGGGUGAAGGAACUAGGCAAAAUGGUGCCGUAACUUCGGGAGAAGGCACGCUGACACGUAGGUGAAGUGAUUUACUCAUGGAGCUGAAGUCAGUCGAAGAUACCAGCUGGCUGCAACUGUUUAUUAAAAACACAGCACUGUGCAAACACGAAAGUGGACGUAUACGGUGUGACGCCUGCCCGGUGCCGGAAGGUUAAUUGAUGGGGUCAGCGCAAGCGAAGCUCCUGAUCGAAGCCCCGGUAAACGGCGGCCGUAACUAUAACGGUCCUAAGGUAGCGAAAUUCCUUGUCGGGUAAGUUCCGACCUGCACGAAUGGCGUAAUGAUGGCCAGGCUGUCUCCACCCGAGACUCAGUGAAAUUGAACUCGCUGUGAAGAUGCAGUGUACCCGCGGCAAGACGGAAAGACCCCGUGAACCUUUACUAUAGCUUGACACUGAACAUUGAGCCUUGAUGUGUAGGAUAGGUGGGAGGCUUUGAAGCGUGGACGCCAGUCUGCGUGGAGCCGACCUUGAAAUACCACCCUUUAAUGUUUGAUGUUCUAACGUGGACCCGUGAUCCGGGUUGCGGACAGUGUCUGGUGGGUAGUUUGACUGGGGCGGUCUCCUCCUAAAGAGUAACGGAGGAGCACGAAGGUUGGCUAAUCCUGGUCGGACAUCAGGAGGUUAGUGCAAUGGCAUAAGCCAGCUUGACUGCGAGCGUGACGGCGCGAGCAGGUGCGAAAGCAGGUCAUAGUGAUCCGGUGGUUCUGAAUGGAAGGGCCAUCGCUCAACGGAUAAAAGGUACUCCGGGGAUAACAGGCUGAUACCGCCCAAGAGUUCAUAUCGACGGCGGUGUUUGGCACCUCGAUGUCGGCUCAUCACAUCCUGGGGCUGAAGUAGGUCCCAAGGGUAUGGCUGUUCGCCAUUUAAAGUGGUACGCGAGCUGGGUUUAGAACGUCGUGAGACAGUUCGGUCCCUAUCUGCCGUGGGCGCUGGAGAACUGAGGGGGGCUGCUCCUAGUACGAGAGGACCGGAGUGGACGCAUCACUGGUGUUCGGGUUGUCAUGCCAAUGGCACUGCCCGGUAGCUACAUGCGGAAGAGAUAAGUGCUGAAAGCAUCUAAGCACGAAACUUGCCCCGAGAUGAGUUCUCCCUGAGACUUAGAGUCUCCUGAAGGAACGUUGAAGACGACGACGUUGAUAGGCCGGGUGUGUAAGCGCAGCGAUGCGUUGAGCUAACCGGUACUAAUGAACCGUGAGGCUUAACCUU